GUAAAGUUGACAGAGAAUAUGUGAAUAAUUUAGGAUUAUUAUAUAAAAGUUUUGGCUUUUACUUUAUG
rnacentral:tRNA from 1 species